GGUUAAGUUAGAAAGGGCGCACGGUGGAUGCCUUGGCACUAGGAGCCGAUGAAGGACGGGACGAACACCGAUAUGCUUCGGGGAGCUGUAAGCAAGCUUUGAUCCGGAGAUUUCCGAAUGGGGAAACCCACUGCUCGUAAUGGAGCAGUAUCCAUAUCUGAAUUCAUAGGAUAUGAGAAGGCAGACCCGGGGAACUGAAACAUCUAAGUACCCGGAGGAAGAGAAAGCAA
rnacentral:rRNA from 1 species